GGAGAGUCGCUCUCGCUCUCGCUCGCUCUCGCACACACACACACGCACACACACGCACACACACACACACACACACGCACACACACACACACGGAGGCACAGACACACAGCCACACGCACAGCCACACGGACACACAGCCACACGCGUGCACCCGCCCGCUCGGCUCCGCUCCCGAGCUGCCUCAGCAAGGAGGAGCCCGGACGGAAACCACCAGGGCAGCAAGAGUCCUGAUUUCAGGGAAGUGGGUGCAGGUCUCGUUCAAAGAAUCAUUCUCCAAUGCCAUUGGCAUUACCUGCCAAAAAUGAAAGUGGCAUAUGAAUCACAAUAAUUCACUCAUGAUUUUGUGGAUAUAGAGCCUGCCAAGGAACAUCAGCCACAUGUUAUUCCUGAGUUUUAUGGACUUUGGACAGUGGUAAAAGUAAAUUUAUCCAAAGACCAUCUUAUUGAUGACCCAUCCUAUAUGGAUGACAGACAUAACAUAUUCAACAGAAAGACAAUAUUAACUGAAAAUAUUAAUGUGUAAAUGUUUAUCUUUCAAGCGGGGUGGUGAAAUUGGUGAAUCAGAAGACUGAAACUAUGUCAGAAGCCUUUCCUGAGGUGCCCCUUAUUGGAGUGUUACUGUGACAUAAUGAUUUGGAAAUAUGUUUUUGUGUGAGAAGAGCUAUCAGAUCCUCUGGGAAAUAUUGCAGAUACUUUCCAGUUCCUUUCAGACAUGCAAAUACGCUGAUGUUUAGACAUGAGUAAAGAGUAGAGGUGGGGAGUAGAGUAGAGCAGGGAGUGGAGUGGGGUUAAAAGCCUCUGCGUAGAUCACAGAACCAUAUAAAUACACACAUUUUUUUCUGAAUCUGAUGUUGGUGGGGGCUUGGAAUAAAAUGGUCAUUAUUAAGAAGAAACACUGCAAAAAUGUGUGCAUACUUGAGAAUUAUGUUGACCAUGGCUGACAGAGAAGACCAUCUCCUGCCUGUAAUUACAGAUGAUCAACAGAAGAUCAACAGAACUCUCAGUAAUGCUGAGAUACUCGUGCCAUUCCCAAGUAACACACACCUUAUAAAGUAUGGCUUAUUUCCAGUUCAUAGAGUACAGCUAAAGUUAUAGCACUGAAAAACUCUGCAUGCUACCCAGCACUUCUUAUGGUUCCUUGCAUUCUUAAUUAUUUGCUUUAAACUGAGCACAUCAGAAACUGUUUUAUUUUUUUAUUUUUUAUUUUUUAUUUUUUCCUAAGAAGCUACAAGAAUGGCAGCCUAUGUAUUGUAACAUGUUCAUACACUUGUGAAACAGAGCAAAAAGACUGCUCACUAGCAAGGUCUGCCCCUAGCUGUCUCAGCAGCUUAAUGAAAUGUUAAGACUUGGUUUGAGCAACUGUUCUCCAAAUGAUAUUAGCAUUAUCUGCAGAUGAAAAUGUCAGUAAAAAAAUACAACCAUGCUGGAGAGGCCUUCCAUGUCUAUUUUAAAUGCAAGUGGCCAUUAUCAGCUUUAUCAGAACUGUAUCUGAUGACUGAUAUCACUGGUGGCUCAGUGGAAGAGAUCCGGAUUACUUUUUUUCUGAAUGUGGCAGCUACUUUCAGAGUAUUUCUGCAGUCUUCUGAUUAUCUCACUAUCUGUUGGCUAGAAACCAAUCUCCUGAACUUAGGCCUAUGUCACCUCAUUACCUGAAUGCCUCUUCUAAAAAUUUGUUCACUGGAAAGUGUAUCAUGUCAAUAAUAAAUUCAUCUGUCCUUCUCCAGACUGGCUUGAGUUUCAUCCAGUCAUUCACUGAAGGUUCUUUUUCCAAGCCCUGAUGCUACACAGUACCUCAAUCCAUUCAGCUUCUCUUCAAGAUGGUAACUACUUUCCGCUCCACUUUCGGCUGCAGAUCUUUUGAUUACCUAUGAAAGUAAAUUGCAUCCUGUAGAUUUCCUCUUACAACUUCUGCUUUACAGAAGAAAAGAUCAACUUGUGGCAGAUGCAUCAACGACGUCAGACUCGCUUCUCUGUUGUCUGAUUGCCCUCUCCACCUUCUGUCGAUCUGAAACUUUCAUUUUGGAAAGGAUUGAAGGGUUGCAUUAAUAUUUGUGUUAACCACCUUUUCCUGCACAUUGUCUGUUCCUUCCCCUUGGCGUCUGGCUUGUCUUGGCUGCUUUUAAAAACUCUGUUGCCUCUAGUGAGGGACUGCCAGAUUAAACCAGUGAAGAGAAACCAGGUGACUGUCUACUUUUACGAAUAUAGGUUGUGUAUAAUAAAUUCAGGUUUUACAUCUAAGCAAAUUAAAUCAUCAUAUGAUUCUGACUACAUGCAUUUUUUAUCAAAUAUGGCAUAUAUUUCACAAAUUAUAUUUAACUUAUACGCAUGUUGCUAUUCUGAAUACCUAACUAGGAGAGUUACAAGGUGUGCCACUAGAUCUUAGUAAAUGGGUUUAUGGAACCAGAAGAAAUAAGAUAAAAUCAUCUCUUUUUCUUGCAUUCCUGACAAGUCCAGUGGAAGGGCUUUUCCUGCUCUGUAGAUGGCAAUGUAAACACCUCACCACAGAUCUGUUUAGAGAUACAAGUACAUUUUAUUAUUAGAAAUUUAGAGAAUUUAUAAAGGCCUAAGCAGAAAUUGCCCACAAUAAGGACGUUUUAAAGCAAUGUCUUUGGUCCAGAGUUUACCACAUCUAGUCAGUAAGGUCUUCCUCUACUGUUUCUGUCAUGUAGUGGAAGACAUUAGUUACAAUGUCAGAAUAAACAUGUUACUUCUGCAAAAAAAAAUGUUUUAACCUCAGGAAUAUUGCAACAUGAAAAUGGGAUUUAGCACAAUUCUCCCUUUGUGGUUUAUCUACAGACAGGACAGUUUUAGUGUAAAGCCCUAAACCUUGCAAGAUGAUUACCAGUCAGAGGUACACCAUACCUUGAGCAUCAAUCUGUCAGCUGAGCACUGACAAGGACUAUCCUGUGAAGUGUCCUGCUGCAAGGAGAGAGGCUGGGUUGGAGCAUGGCCUUCUGUUCCUGGAACUCACCCUGGCUUCCCGCGUGCCUUGCUGAGCCGAGGAUGUGGGCACAGAAACAGGGAAUCCCGUUGAAAUUGCUGGAAAAAAACUCUCAUUAACUUAAUGAGAUUUGGAACAUUACAAGGGAACUCCAGCUGGAACCAGAUCUGAACCCGAGUGCGAAACAUUCCUGAAUAUACUACCACAAACUUGUUUCAAGGAGAAUAUGUGCUCAGACAUACAAAUGGCUAGAUUCUGAUCUCGGUAACGCCAGUGUGAGUCUCUUGACUCAUAUAAACUGAACUCAGAGGACUAGCCCUGAAGACUAUAAAAUGAAGACGCACACAUGCCACAGGAGACUAUGAAAGGUGGGUGGAGCUAUGAAGAUUUAGCCCCACACCUUGCUGGAACACCUUAAGACAGGUAGACCUGGCAGCAGUUGGCUGAGACAGGACUUUCAUCGUGCAUAAUCACUACUUUCCAUAAUUAAGAGUACAGUCUGACUGGGUUCACACUUACUGUGCUGUAGUCUAGCUAUGUUCAGGGUCUCCCCACAACACUUCUUUCCUUGCUCUCUAACAAACACACUUUACUUUCAUUUAUUUUGGAUAAGUAGCUGAGCAGCCAUGACUGUUGGGCUUCUUGGGGGGAAGAGGACUGACUUAGGAAUAUCACAAAGAUAGAAUGAGGAGAGAAGAAACAGAUUCUCCUUCCAGCAUGAUGUGAUAAGGCAGCAGGCUGGGCUCAAAAUAGGCAGAGGAAGUGCUGAAUGACCCAAGUGAUGACAGGCUUGGUGGCAUUCUCCUGCAUGUAUAGAAGACACUUGUUUUGUCCAUAUGUCUCUAUACCGUGGCUGAGAAACUACUGUAGUGUUCUCAUGGAGUGAUAUUCAGACUGCAAGUUUAAUCUGAAGGGGAAAGCCAGUCUGUUUCCAUCUAGUUUAUAAACUUUUGAAAAAUGUCAGCGGAAUAAAGAUCUCUACACUAACUAGUCUUUAUUCUUUUUCAUCUUGGGAUGUACCAAAAGCUCUUACUUCUAUCAAAGUUAACGUGAGUUUUCCUGAAAAAAAGAAUUGGACCUUGAUAGAGCUUUGACUUGUCACCUAUUUAAGAGUGUUUUCAUUACUUUCUGAUUACUUACCCAGUGUUGCCAAAUUUAACUUUUCUUUAUUAAGUAAUUUAAUACUCAGAGCUCACAGAAAACUUAACAUGUCAUCCAUCUCUUUCAUUUUAACUGAUUCAAAGCAAACUCCAUUUCUUAGAGCAGAUUAUUUUUGCAUUGCACAUCUUAACUUGCAGUGAGAGAGACUAAUACAAAACAAAUAAAAACUUUCUUUUCUGAAACUUUUGAACAAGUUAAAACACAUCCAAAACUGUAUUCACAGUAAUUGAUACUAAUUAAAAUGCUGAAGCUGCAUUAACAAGAAAUGAAAAGGAGUAUUUUGGGUCUUAUCUUUUGCAACGUGAAUGUUAUUCAUGCUCAGCUUUUCAUAAACGCAGAAAUAUUAUACCUUGUAUUAUUUCCAUGGUAAAUGCUAUUGCCGUUCGGCAUUUUAUGGGGUGUGGUUUAUAAUUUUAUUAACACCAUCUGUUGUUUAAAAGAUAAUAUAGAAUGUUUAAAAAUUAUCAAAAAUGCUGGUGUACACAAAAUCAGGAGCAAUAUUUGCAUUUUGCUCUUUGCCUGGCAAUUUAUCUGCACAUAAAGCUGAAGCCAGUUGAAUUUAACUCUUUAUGGUUCAUGUGAUACUUCAAAUAUCUCCACUAGACUAUGCAUUAAACACUAUUAGUAUCAUGAGCACAUUAUGUAUCUGAAACAGUCUUUGCUGCCAGAUCUUAAAAAUGCUAAAGGGUAAGGAGGGAAAUGAAAGGACAUAUUAUGAAAGGACUAAGGACCCUGAAGAUCAUCUACAAACAGAAUUACAUGUCUUUAAAUGGAAAGGCGGGCCAAGAAGAUGAACGAGGAAUGAAUUUGUUUGCGUGACUUACAUUUCUGUUAGAAACGCUUAGACACAUCUAAAGGAAAAAAAGAGUUUUUAAUUACUG